AGUAUGCGCGGGAAAGGGGUGGGGGGAUAACGGAGGGGGCGAGUGGUGUCAGGAAUCAUCGGGCUGAAAGGGCCGGGCGGGGGUCGGUCACGUCGGCGGGGAAACCCCGGGGCUCAACCCCGGGCCUGCAGUCGAUACGGGCAGACUAGAGUGCGGUAGGGGAGACUGGAAUUCCGGGUGUAGCGGUGAAAUGCGCAGAUAUCAGGAGGAACACCGGUGGCGAAGGCGGGUCUCUGGGCCGUAACUGACGCUGAGGAGCGAAAGCGUGGGGAGCGAACAGGAUUAGAUACCCCAGUAGUC
rnacentral:rRNA from 1 species